rnacentral:rRNA from 1 species
GCUUGUCUCAAAGAUUAAGCCAUGCAUGUCUCAGUAUAAGUUUGUACAUGGCGAAACUGCGAAUGGCUCAUUAAAACAGUUAUCGUUUAUUUGGUGGUUGUUUACUACAUGGAUAACCUUGGUAAUUCUAAAGCUAAUACAUGCGCAAAAGCCUGACUUAUUGGAAAGGCUGCGUUUAUUAGAUCCAACCAGCCCGGUUCGCCGGAGUCCCUGGUGAGUCAUAAUAACUGAGCGAAUCGCAUGGCCUUGUGCCGGCGAUGGUUCAUUCAAGUUUCUGCCCUAUCAGCUUUCGAUGGUAGGGUAUUGGCCUACCAUGGCGUUAACGGGUAACGGAGAAUUAGGGUUCGAUUCCGGAGAGGGAGCCUGAGAAACGGCUACCACAUCCAAGGAAGGCAGCAGG